rnacentral:lncRNA from 1 species
CACAGCCAGCCAGACAGAAGGCUACCGCCCUCUAGCAGCCUUGCAGUUAACACUCUCCUUGCCCAGCCCUUGCAAGGAGGCCUCUCUCGUGGCCUCUCCACAGCCACAGCAGGCCUCUUUCAUCGGCACCCUUUUGGAGACAACCCUGACCUGUCCUUUCCGGGGCACUGUCCAGGUUUCAUUACAGAGCCCCCCAGUGACUGCUUCGGAGCCUUGCCUUCCACUAUUUGAUUCUGAUUCUCUGGAGAACUCUAACAGACAGAAGUUAGGAGGAACAAUGACACACAGGAAGAACAGUGACACAUGUGUAGAGCCCUGUGUGUUCCCGGGAGCCACUCCGCCUGGUGAUGUGAGAUUCCCUCUGGCAAGGAGGAUGUCGGGGCGCAUCUGUGCGGCGUCAGGCAAUGACACAUUGGCAUGAAAGAAGUGUUCUGAUGAUGCAGAUGCUGCUGGCUUCAACGGUCCACUGCCUCUGGCAUCAGUUCAUACUUCAAAUCAGAUUGUGCAACCCUUCAUUUAUUUAUUUAUAGUCACUAAAUGUUAAUUUUGAGAAACAUACAAUAAAGAAGAAAAUGCAAGGCACUCAUAAUUUUGCAAUUCUCUUUCUUCCAAAAUGCC